rnacentral:lncRNA from 1 species
CUGCACACCUACCCCCGGUGUCCCUCUGCCACCCCCGCCGCCCCAGCAACCCCGACACCCACCACCCUCCACACACACAAUUUUUCUUUUUUUAAAUUUCCAGCAGUCGGUUUUUCUCUAGAGAAGGCAUAAAGAGAAGCAGAGGCAGAGAUGGGACGAGCAGGGAGAAUGCUCCUGCCUCAUCGGAGCCACCGGUUUUCGGGAGAGAGCGGCAGCCCCCACCUGCCUGUGGACUGAGCACUUAAAGGGCUGGUGAUGAUCAACCUCUUCUGAC